rnacentral:rRNA from 1 species
AUUGAACGCUGGCGGCAUGCCUUACACAUGCAAGUCGAACGGCAGCAUGGAAGAGCUUGCUCUUCUGAUGGCGAGUGGCGAACGGGUGAGUAAUACAUCGGAACGUACCCUGUAGUGGGGGAUAACUACUCGAAAGAGUAGCUAAUACCGCCUACAACCAGAGGGUAAAAGUGGGGGACCGCAAGGCCCCCCGCUAUAGGAACGGCCGAUGGAAGGUUAGCUAGUUGGUAGGGUAAAGGCCUACCAAGGCGACGAUCUUUAGCGGGUCUGAGAGGACGAUCCGCCACACUGGGACUGAGACACGGCCCAGACUCCUACGGGAGGCAGCAGUGGAGAAUUUUGGACAAUGGGCGAAAGCCUGAUCCAGCAAUGCCGCGUGAGUGAAGAAGGCCUUCGGGUUGUAAAGCUCUUUUGUUUGGGAAGAAAUCCUAACGGAUAAUACCUGUUGGGGAUGACGGUACCAAAAGAAUAAGCACCGGCUAACUACGUGCCAGCAGCCGCGGUAACAC